ACAUGCAAGUCGAGCGAAUGGAUUAAGAGCUUGCUCUUAUGAAGUUAGCGGCGGACGGGUGAGUAACACGUGGGUAACCUGCCCAUAAGACUGGGAUAACUCCGGGAAACCGGGGCUAAUACCGGAUAACAUUUUGAACCGCAUGGUUCGAAAUUGAAAGGCGGCUUCGGCUGUCACUUAUGGAUGGACCCGCGUCGCAUUAGCUAGUUGGUGAGGUAACGGCUCACCAAGGCAACGAUGCGUAGCCGACCUGAGAGGGUGAUCGGCCACACUGGGACUGAGACACGGCCCAGACUCCUACGGGAGGCAGCAGUAGGGAAUCUUCCGCAAUGGACGAAAGUCUGACGGAGCAACGCCGCGUGAGUGAUGAAGGCUUUCGGGUCGUAAAACUCUGUUGUUAGGGAAGAACAAGUGCUAGUUGAAUAAGCUGGCACCUUGACGGUACCUAACCAGAAAGCCACGGCUAACUACGUGCCAGCAGCCGCGGUAAUACGUAGGUGGCAAGCGUUAUCCGGAAUUAUUGGGCGUAAAGCGCGCGCAGGUGGUUUCUUAAGUCUGAUGUGAAAGCCCACGGCUCAACCGUGGAGGGUCAUUGGAAACUGGGAGACUUGAGUGCAGAAGAGGAAAGUGGAAUUCCAUGUGUAGCGGUGAAAUGCGUAGAGAUAUGGAGGAACACCAGUGGCGAAGGCGACUUUCUGGUCUGUAACUGACACUGAGGCGCGAAAGCGUGGGGAGCAAACAGGAUUAGAUACCCUGGUAGUCCACGCCGUAAACGAUGAGUGCUAAGUGUUAGAGGGUUUCCGCCCUUUAGUGCUGAAGUUAACGCAUUAAGCACUCCGCCUGGGGAGUACGGCCGCAGGGCUGAAACUCAAAGGAAUUGACGGCGGCCCGCACAACCGGUGGAGCAUGUGGUUUAAUUCAAAGCAACGCGAAGAAACUUACCAGGUCGUGACAUCCUCUGACAACCCUACAGAUAGGGCUUCUCCUUCCGGAGCAGAAUAACAGGUGGUGCAUGGUUGUCUUCACCUCCUGUCCUGAAAUGU
rnacentral:rRNA from 1 species